CACAUCAUGUUGAAAUACUGCUUCCCCGUAUGAUCACUGAAGUUAAGCAGCAUCAAGCCUGGCAUUAGUUAGAUGGGUGACCACUUGGGAAUACCAGAUGCUGUAA